rnacentral:misc_RNA from 1 species
GGAAGGAUCAUUACCGAGUGAGGGUGCUCCGUCGCGAGGCCCGACCUCCCCACCCUGUGUCUACUGUACCUUGUCGUUGCUUCGGCGGACCGGUUCCUGACCAACUGGUUUCGACCGCCGGGGGUCCUGUCGCCCCUGGAGCGCGUCCGCCGAUGGCCCAACUCCAAAAACUUCUUUGAACCCGAAACCCAGUGUCGUCUGAAAACACGUUUGUGAUGCAAUACAAAAACAAAAAAAACUUUCAACAACGGAUCUCUUGGUUCUGGCAUCGAUGAAGAACGCAGCGAAAUGCGAUAAGUAAUGCGAAUUGCAGAAUUUCCGUGAGUCAUCGAAUCUUUGAACGCACAUUGCGCCCAUUGGUAUUCCGAUGGGCAUGCCUGUUCGAGCGUCAUUAUCCUCCCUCAAACCUCGCGUUUGGUGUUGGACCGCGUUGGUCCUCCCGUGACCAACUGGUCUCAAAAGACAAUGACGGCGUCUGUGGGACCCUCGGUGCAACGAGCUUUUCGGAGCACGCGUCGAGUCGAAAGGACCCUCCGGGCCGGUCAGACCUUUCCAUUUUACCAGGUUGACCUCGGAUCAGGUAGGAAUACCCGCUGAACUUAAGCAUAUCAAUAAGCGGAGGAAAAGAAACCAACAGGGAUUGCCUCAGUAACGGCGAGUGAAGCGGCAACAGCUCAAAUUUGAAAUCUGCCCACAAGGGUCGAGUUGUAAUUUGAAGAGGAUGUUUGGGGUACCGCCGCGGUUUAAUUUUCUUGGAACAGAAAGCCAGAGAGGGUGAGAGUCCCGUCUUGGACCGCGGUAGGGCCCGUGUCAAACUCCUUCGACGAGUCGAGUUGUUUGGGAAUGCAGCUCUAAAUGGGUGGUAAAUUUCAUCUAAAGCUAAAUAUUGGCCAGAGACCGAUAGCGCACAAGUAGAGUGAUCGAAAGAUGAAAAGCACUUUGAAAAGAGAGUUAAACAGUAUGUGAAAUUGUUGAAAGGGAAGCGCAGGCCACCAGACUCGCGCACGGGGUUCGCCUUUGCUUCGGCUUGGGUUACUGCCCCGUGUUCGGGCCAUCAUCAGUUUUGGGGGCCGGUCAAAGGUCCCGGGAAUGUAUCCUCUCCUCCGGGGGAGGACUUAUAGCCCGGGGCGUCAUGCGGCCUCCCGGGACUGAGGAACGCGCUUCGGCGAGGAUGAUGGCGUAAUGGUGGUCUGCGACCCGUCUUGAAACACGGACCAAGGAGUCUAACAUCUAUGCGAGUGUUCGGGUGACAAACCCCGGCGCGGAAUGAAAGUGAACGGAGGUAGGAAGGCCUGAGCCUGCACUAUCGACCGAUCCUGAUGUCUUCGGAUGGAUUUGAGUAAGAGCAUAGCUGUUGGGACCCGAAAGAUGGUGAACUAUGCGUGAAUAGGGUGAAGCCAGAGGAAACUCUGGUGGAGGCUCGCAGCGGUUCUGACGUGCAAAUCGAUCGUCAAAUUUGCGUAUAGGGGCGAAAGACUAAUCGAACCAUCUGGUAGCUGGUCCCUGC